GAAGUCAAGAGUUAGAGAAAUCGGGAUUCCAACUUCAUCUACGACAAGAGAGAGGAAAAUGAACACAAUUUGCCAAAAGGGGAUCUUUCAUUAAUAAAGGGCCAGAAGGCCAAUUACAAAAUUGAGGGUCGGCCAUUUAAGAAGCCGACCUCGAUUACAAUGGAAAGAAAAAAGAUCUAAGUCCUAAGGGGCGGCGGUAGCAUCCGCGUCGCCCCCGGGGUCGUCCACGGCGAUGACCUGGGGACUUUCAGUAGGCACGAAUUCGGGGUC
rnacentral:lncRNA from 1 species